rnacentral:rRNA from 1 species
UGGGGAAUAUUGGACAAUGGGGGCAACCCUGAUCCAGCCAUGCCGCGUGAGUGAUGAAGGCCUUCGGGUUGUAAAGCUCUUUUGGCGGGGACGAUGAUGACGGUACCCGCAGAAUAAGCCCCGGCUAACUUCGUGCCAGCAGCCGCGGUAAGACGAAGGGGGCUAGCGUUGUUCGGAAUUACUGGGCGUAAAGCGAGUGUAGGCGGUUGCCGUAGUCAGGUGUGAAAGCCUUGAGCUCAACUCAAGAAAUGCACUUGAUACUGGGUGACUAGAGGACCGGAGAGGAUAGUGGAAUUCCCAGUGUAGUGGUGAAAUACGUAGAGAUUGGGAAGAACACCAGUGGCGAAGGCGGCUAUCUGGACGGUUACUGACGCUAAGACUCGAAAGCGUGGGGAGCAAACAGGAUUAGAUACCCUGGUAGUCCACGCCGUAAACGAUGGGUGCUAGACGUUGGCGAGCUUGCUCGUCAGUGUCGCAGCUAACGCGUUAAGCACCCCGCCUGGGGAGUACGGCCGCAAGGUUGAAACUC